rnacentral:rRNA from 1 species
CGUGGGUAACCUGCCCAAGAGAUCGGGAUAACACCUGGAAACAGAUGCUAAUACCGAUAACAACAGAUGAUGCCUAUCAACUGUUUAAAAGAUGGUUCUGCUAUCACUCUUGGAUGGACCUGCGGUGCAUUAGCUAGUUGGUAGGGUAACGGCCUACCAAGGCUAUGAUGCAUAGCCGAGUUGAGAGACUGAUCGGCCACAUUGGGACUGAGACACGGCCCAAACUCCUACGGGAGGCAGCAGGG